UGCAGUUGAGCGCUGAGGUUGGUACUUGUACCGACUGGAUGAGCAGCGAACGGGUGAGUAACGCGUGGGGAAUCUGCCUUUGAGCGGGGGACAACAUUUGGAAACGAAUGCUAAUACCGCAUAAAAACUUUAAACACAAGUUUUAAGUUUGAAAGAUGCAAUUGCAUCACUCAAAGAUGAUCCCGCGUUGUAUUAGCUAGUUGGUGAGGUAAAGGCUCACCAAGGCGAUGAUACAUAGCCGACCUGAGAGGGUGAUCGGCCACAUUGGGACUGAGACACGGCCCAAACUCCUACGGGAGGCAGCAGUAGGGAAUCUUCGGCAAUGGACGAAAGUCUGACCGAGCAACGCCGCGUGAGUGAAGAAGGUUUUCGGAUCGUAAAACUCUGUUGGUAGAGAAGAACGUUGGUGAGAGUGGAAAGCUCAUCAAGUGACGGUAACUACCCAGAAAGGGACGGCUAACUACGUGCCAGCAGCCGCGGUAAUACGUAGGUCCCGAGCGUUGUCCGGAUUUAUUGGGCGUAAAGCGAGCGCAGGUGGUUUAUUAAGUCUGGUGUAAAAGGCAGUGGCUCAACCAUUGUAUGCAUUGGAAACUGGUAGACUUGAGUGCAGGAGAGGAGAGUGGAAUUC
rnacentral:rRNA from 1 species